rnacentral:misc_RNA from 1 species
AACGCACGAGACCUGCGGACCUGCGGAAGGAUCAUUACCGAGUUAGGGUAGUCACUCACUGCCCGACCUCCCAACCCUGUGUCUACCACACUUUGUCGUUGCUUCGGCGGACCGGUUGACCAACUGGUCGUGACCGCCGGGGGCUGGCUCUGUCCCCCCUGGAGAGCGUCCGUCGAUGGCCCAACCACAAAACUCUUGUACCAAAAACGUGUCGUCUGAAUUAUAUUUGAGAAAUCAAAA